UUCCGGUUGAUCCCGCCGGAGGCCACUGCUAUGGGGGUCCGACUAAGCCAUGCGAGUCAUGGGGCGCCUUGCGCGCACCGGCGGACGGCUCAGUAACACGUCGGUAACCUACCCUCGGGAGGGGGAUAACCCCGGGAAACUGGGGCUAAUCCCCCAUAGGCCUGAGGUACUGGAAGGUCCUCAGGCCGAAAGGGGCUCUGCCCGCCCGAGGAUGGGCCGGCGGCCGAUUAGGUAGUUGGUGGGGUAACGGCCCACCAAGCCGAAGAUCGGUACGGGCCAUGAGAGUGGGAGCCCGGAGAUGGACACUGAGACACGGGUCCAGGCCCUACGGGGCGCAGCAGGCGCGAAACCUCCGCAAUGCGGGCAACCGCGACGGGGGGACCCCCAGUGCCGUGGCAUCGCCACGGCUUUUCCGGAGUGUAAAGAGCUCCGGGAAUAAGGGCUGGGCAAGGCCGGUGGCAGCCGCCGCGGUAAUACCGGCGGCCCGAGUGGUGGCUGCUAUUAUUGGGCCUAAAGCGUCCGUAGCCGGGCCCGUAAGUCCCUGGCGAAAUCCCACGGCUCAACCGUGGGGCUUGCUGGGGAUACUGCGGGCCUUGGGACCGGGAGAGGCGGAGGGUACUCCUGGGGUAGGGGUGAAAUCCUAUAAUCCCAGGAGGACCGCCAGUGGCGAAGGCGCUCCGCUGGAACGGGUCCGACGGUGAGGGACGAAGGCCAGGGGAGCGAACCGGAUUAGAUACCCGGGUAGUCCUGGCUGUAAAGGAUGCGGGCUAGGUGUCGGGCGAGCUUCGUGCUCGCCCGGUGCCGAAGGGAAGCCGUUAAGCCCGCCGCCUGGGGAGUACGGCCGCAAGGCUGAAACUUAAAGGAAUUGGCGGGGGAGCACUACAAGGGGUGGAGCGUGCGGUUUAAUUGGAAUCAACGCCGGA
rnacentral:rRNA from 1 species